rnacentral:rRNA from 1 species
GUAGGGAAUAUUGCACAAUGGGGGAAACCCUGAUGCAGCGACGCCGCGUGAGUGAUGAAGGCCUUCGGGUCGUAAAGCUCUGUCGUAUGGGACUAACACAAUGAAGGUACCAUGCAAGAAAGGAUCGGCUAACUUCGUGCCAGCAGCCGCGGUAAGACGAGGGAUCCUAGCGUUGUUCGGAAUCAUUGGGCGUAAAGCGGGUGUAGGCGGAUUUAUAAGUCAGGUGUGAAAUCCCAGGGCUUAACCCUGGAAGUGCACUUGAUACUGUAAAUCUUGAGUGUGGUAGAGGUUACUGGAAUUGUUGGUGUAGUGGUGAAAUACGUAGAUAUCAACAGGAAUACCGGAGGCGAAGGCGAGUAACUGGGCCAACACUGACGCUGGGACCCGAAAGCGUGGGGAUCAAACAGGAUUAGAUACCCCGGUAGUCC